rnacentral:rRNA from 1 species
GACGAACGCUGGCGGCGUGCCUAAUACAUGCAAGUAGAACGCUGAGGACUGGUGCUUGCACUGGUCUAAGGAGUUGCGAACGGGUGAGUAACGCGUGAGGAACCUGCCUCGGAGUGGGGAAUAACAGCCCGAAAGGGUUGCUAAUACCGCAUGAUGCAGCUGGGUCGCAUGACCCUGGCUGCCAAAGAUUUAUCGCUCUGAGAUGGCCUCGCGCCUGAUUAGCUAGUAGGCGAGGUAACGGCCCACCUAGGCGACGAUCAGUAGCCGGACUGAGAGGUUGACCGGCCACAUUGGGACUGAGACACGGCCCAG